rnacentral:tRNA from 1 species
GCUGGAAUAGCUCAGUUGGUUAGAGCGUGUGGCUGUUAACCACAAGGUCGGUGAUUCGACCCCUCCUUCUAGCG